UACAGAGGUGGCAAGCGUUGUUCGGAAUUACUGGGCGUAAAGGGCGCGUAGGCGGCCUGCUAAGUCGAACGUGAAAUCCCUGGGCUCAACCCAGGAACUGCGUCCGAUACUGGAUGGCUUGAAUCCGGGAGAGGGAUGCAGAAUUCCAGGUGUAGCGGUGAAAUGCGUAGAUAUCUGGAGGAAUACCGGUGGCGAAGGCGGCAUCCUGGACCGGCACUGACGCUGAGGAGCGAAAGCCAGGGGAGCAAACGGG
rnacentral:rRNA from 1 species